UACGUAGGGUGCAAGCGUUAAUCGGAAUUACUGGGCGUAAAGCGUGCGCAGGCGGUUAUGCAAGACAGAUGUGAAAUCCCCGGGCUUAACCUGGGAACUGCAUUUGUGACUGCAUGGCUGGAGUGUGGCAGAGGGGGAUGGAAUUCCGCGUGUAGCAGUGAAAUGCGUAGAUAUGCGGAGGAACACCGAUGGCGAAGGCAAUCCCCUGGGCCUGCACUGACGCUCAUGCACGAAAGCGUGGGGAGCAAACAGG
rnacentral:rRNA from 1 species